ensembl:lncRNA
AAAAACAAUAAAUUCUCACUUUGAUGAUUUUUCUUCUAUAUCUUUUCAUUUUUGAUUGGUCCUUAAUUUUCCUUCUCCAACGAGACUGAUUAAUUGUUAUUUGCGCCAUCCUUUCUCUUGUGACUCAAGAGUAUAUACUGUACUACUCAACCAAAUAACUUGCUUAAAAAAUUAAAUCAAACAAUACUGUGGCAAGUUUAUUUGCACUGCUUCUUUUAUAAAUUAGCCAAACACAUCUGACAUUGUUAGCUAAAGUAUUUUGCCUCACUUGGCAGUAUAGGUGUUGCACUGAUUACAUCAGGUGUGCAGUUUACCUGUGAGCAAUGAUUGCCAUGAAUGUCAUGGUGCACUUAAACAAGUAGGAGAUGGUUCAAACCAUAGAUACAAAUAACCAUAAACACAACAUUUAUAUUGCCCAUUGUAAAAACUGGCAUUUUACCACCAAGUGUAAUGACACUAAACAGUGAGGGAAGCAGAAAGAGAAGGUAAGUAGCCCACAAAGAUCUUUUUAUUAGGCAUAGUUUAUGGUACUGAGAAUUUGGUCUUAUCCACAGAACAGAGAUCAGUGUGAUGGAGAUACCUAAAAGAAUCCGUAACCCAAUCAAAAAAAGAAAAGUCAGUGAGCCAGUCACUGCCCUACAAAAUGAAGAACAAGAAGGACUUUAUGUUUUUCUAACAUUUGAAGAUGGAUAUACUGCAAGAAUUUGUAAGACCUGCGACAUACUUACAGAAAAGGAGUCGCCAAUUACUAGCUUUGAGGGACUCAUUCCAGGAGCUCGAGUUCUUGCAAGAUGGUCAGACAACAAAUUUUAUAAUGCCACUGUAGAUCACAUUGGGUUCUGUGACCAAAAGCAGGACCCGAGAAAGGGUGCAAAGAAGGACAUAAAAAGAAAUUAUGCAUCUGCUGAAUCAUUUUAUAACCAGAAUCGGGUCGCUUCUGCACCAGCUGAACAUGGUCCUUCCUCUGCACUAACCCAGCCUCCGUCUCCAGGAUUGCCACCAACCCAACAUCAAUCUGUGCAAUUACCAUGCUCUGUUAAGCCUUUUAAUCCACAGCCCAUGACACCAUCUGAGUAUUGUAAUCAAGACCAGCCAGGUUUCUUAGAUUUAGAUGAACAUCAAAGACAAACCAUUACACAUAAUUCAACCCCAAAAGAAACAUUUUUGGGGCUUCUGUAUAACCCGUCUAUACCUCACCCCUCAGCUGAAGUUACAAUUCAGGAUGACCAGCUUGGGUUAGAGCCUGAGGAGUAUGAAGAUCCCACAGUCAGAUCACAGAAUUCUUCCUAUGAAAAUGAACAAUGGGAGCCAUGUGAAACAUGCAAGCUGGAGGUACAGGCAUUACUUAAAGAGAAUAAGAUGAUGAAAGAUGUGCUUUCCAGCAUGAGUAAGUAAAAUGAUUGCAUGUAAAGG